CCCUUAGAUGUCCUGGGCUGCACGCGCGCUACACUGAUGUGUCCAGUAAGCACCUAACCUAUUCCGAGAGGAGCGGGUAACCUUAGCAAAGCACAUCGUGAUGGGGAUAGAUUAUUGCAAUUAUUAGUCUUGAACGAGGAAUUCCUAGUAAGCACAAGUCAUCAGCUUGUGUUGAUUACGUCCCUGCCCUUUGUACACACCGCCCGUCGCUCCUACCGAUUGAAUGUUCCGGUGAGCUCUUCGGACUGCGCGGUCUGCAGUUUCUGCGUUCCGUGCGGAAAGUUGCGCAAACCUUAACAUUUAGAGGAAGGAGAAGUCGUAACA
rnacentral:rRNA from 1 species